UGCAGCAGAGGUGACGGCAGCCUGGAAUAAAAUCCUCAAGAUAAUAAUGGAGCAUGGUUUUAAUAAAUUCUGUAUCAACAUCCUUCUGAUGGCACAGAAGACAACACUCUCUGGAAAAACAGAGGUUCACAUCUGGAGGGGAAUUUGCCUCAGAAUGAAUCAUACCUUGAACCUCACCCACACCUGAUUUAGAGGAUAUUUAGGUUUAGGUAUCCUUCAAAACC